CGCUUCGGAGAGAGAAAUGCUGGGGUGCAGCUUCAAGCUUAGGACCACCCACCAUGCCUAUCCAGGUGCUGAAGGGCCUGACCAUCACUCAUUAAGAACAGAGGAGGCUGCCUGUUACUCCUGGUGUUGGUGAGAAGGCAGAUGUAGACAGGUGCCCAGCAAGUGCUGAGCCAGGCGCUGCCCUAAGCACUGGGCUCAUUAACCUUAGUAACCCUGUUGGGGGGCGGAGGUGGGAUGGGGGCUGGGGCUGGGUUGCAGUGAGAUGUCCAGUGUCCAGGGUUCUUGAAAGGGCUGCACUUGGGGACCCCGUGAUGUCCAGCACUGGGCUCUGACUGCCCCUGAGGACACGGUGCACCCCGGGACCUUUGACAUCCGGGGUUCUGAGGGGCCCCACUCCGGGAGGUGAUGGUGGGGGUGUGGCUGUUUCCCCCAUUCGUGCCUUUUCUGUGUCCUUCCCCUGACAGCAUCCCUCCAGACACUCUGCUGUUUCCUGCCUAGGCGUGGCUGCAGCCAUGGCUAGGAAAGCGCUGCCACCAGGCUCAUGCUGGGACCCAACCCAGUGCACAAGGACUUGGCUG
ensembl:lncRNA C19orf48P multidrug resistance-related protein